UACGAAGGGAGCUAGCGUUGUUCGGAAUCACUGGGCGUAAAGCGCACGUAGGCGGAUUUGUCAGUCAGGGGUGAAAUCCCGGGGCUCAACCUCGGAACUGCCUUUGAUACAGCAAGUCUUGAGUUCGAGAGAGGUGGGUGGAAUUCCUAGUGUAGAGGUGAAAUUCGUAGAUAUUAGGAAGAACACCGGUGGCGAAGGCGGCCCACUGACUCGAUACUGACGCUGAGGUGCGAAAGCGUGGGGAGCAAACAGG
rnacentral:rRNA from 1 species